rnacentral:rRNA from 1 species
UUCCAACAAUGGAACGAAAGUCUGAUGGAGCAACGCCGCGUGAGUGAAGAAGGGUUUCGGCUCGUAAAGCUCUGUUGGUAGUGAAGAAAGAUAGAGGUAGUAACUGGCCUUUUAUUUGACGGUAAUUACUUAGAAAGUCACGGCUAACUACGUGCC